AUUGAACGCUGGCGGCAGGCUUAACACAUGCAAGUCGAGCGGGGGAAGGUAGCUUGCUACCGGACCUAGCGGCGGACGGGUGAGUAAUGCUUAGGAAUCUGCCUAUUAGUGGGGGACAACAUCUCGAAAGGGAUGCUAAUACCGCAUACGUCCUACGGGAGAAAGCAGGGGAUCUUCGGACCUUGCGCUAAUAGAUGAGCCUAAGUCGGAUUAGCUAGUUGGUGGGGUAAAGGCCUACCAAGGCGACGAUCUGUAGCGGGUCUGAGAGGAUGAUCCGCCACACUGGGACUGAGACACGGCCCAGACUCCUACGGGAGGCAGCAGUGGGGAAUCUUGGGCAAUGGGGGGAACCCUGAUCCAGCCAUGCCGCGUGUGUGAAGAAGGCCUUAUGGUUGUAAAGCACUUUAAGCGAGGAGGAGGCUACUCUAGUUAAUACCUAGGGAUAGUGGACGUUACUCGCAGAAUAAGCACCGGCUAACUCUGUGCCAGCCGCCGCGGUAA
rnacentral:rRNA from 1 species